CGCACAUUGCGCCCGCCAGUAUUCUGGCGGGCAUGCCUGUCUGAGCGUCAUUUCAACCCUCAGGUCUCCUUGGACCUGGUGUUGGGGCUCGGCCUGCCCCCUGUGGGAGGGCCGUCCCCUAAAUCUAGUGGCGGACCCGCUGUGGCCUCCUCUGCGUAGUAGUGAUACCCCGCAUGUGGAGUGCAGUGAGCCCCUGCCGUUAAACCCCCAACUUCUUCAGGUUGACCUCAGAUCAGGUAGGAAUACCCGCUGAACUUAA
rnacentral:misc_RNA from 1 species